AGCGGCAGACGGGUGAGUAACACGUAGAUAACCUACCUCUUAGCGGGGGAUAGCUUACCGAAAGGUGAGGUAAUACCGCGUAAGAUAUUUUGAUGGCAUCAUUAAAAUAUGAAACAUCCGCAAGGAUGGCUAGGAGAGGGAUCUGCGGCCUAUCAGCUAGUUGGUGAGGUAAUGGCUCACCAAGGCUACGACGGGUAUCCGACCUGAAAGGGUGACCGGACACACUGACACUGAGACACGGGUCAGACUCCUACGGGAGGCAGCAGUGAGGAAUUUUGGACAAUGGGGGAAACCCUGAUCCAGCGACGCCGCGUGAAGGAUGAAGGUCUUCGGAUUGUAAACUUCUUUUAUUUGGGACUAAGAAAUCUGUGGAAACACGGAGAGUGAAUGCACCAAGUGAAUAAGCCACGGCUAACUUCGUGCCAGCAGCCGCGGUAAUACGAAGGUGGCAAGCGUUACUCGGAAUUACUAGGCGUAAAGGGCAGGUAGGUGGUUUUGUAAGUCUGUUGUGAAAGCUCCUGGCUUAACUGGGAGAGGUCAACGGAUACUGCAGGACUUGAGUAUAGGAGAGGUUACUGGAAUUCCCGGUGUAGCGGUGAAAUGCGCAGAUAUCGGGAGGAACACCAAUGGCGAAAGCAGGUAACUGGACUAUUACUGACACUCAGCUGCGAAAGCUAGGGGAGCAAACAGGAUUAGAUACCCUGGUAGUCCUAGCCGUAAACGAUGCACAUUAGACGUGAGGGGUAUCGACCCCCUUCGUGUCGACGCUAACGCAUUAA
rnacentral:rRNA from 1 species